rnacentral:rRNA from 1 species
AACGUAGGGGGCGAGCGUUGUCCGGAAUUACUGGGCGUAAAGGGCGCGUAGGCGGUUCCUUAAGUCAGAGGUGAAAACUGUCGGCUCAACCGGCAGCCUGCCUUUGAAACUGGGGGACUUGAGGGCAGGAGAGGGGAGUGGAAUUCCCAGUGUAGCGGUGAAAUGCGUAGAUAUUGGGAGGAACACCAGUGGCGAAGGCGACUCUCUGGCCUGUUACUGACGCUGAGGCGCGAAAGCGUGGGGAU